UGGUGGCGAGUGGCGAACGGGUGAGUAAUACAUCGGAACGUGCCCUGUAGUGGGGGAUAACUAGUCGAAAGACUAGCUAAUACCGCAUACGACCUGAGGGUGAAAGUGGGGGACCGCAAGGCCUCAUGCUAUAGGAGCGGCCGAUGUCUGAUUAGCUAGUUGGUGGGGUAAAGGCCUACCAAGGCGACGAUCAGUAGCUGGUCUGAGAGGACGAUCAGCCACACUGGGACUGAGACACGGCCCAGACUCCUACGGGAGGCAGCAGUGGGGAAUUUUGGACAAUGGGGGCAACCCUGAUCCAGCAAUGCCGCGUGUGUGAAGAAGGCCUUCGGGUUGUAAAGCACUUUUGUCCGGGAAGAAAUCGCACCUGAUAAUACCGGGUGUGGAUGACGGUACCGGAAGAAUAAGGACCGGCUAACUACGUGCCAGCAGCCGCGGUAAUACGUAGGGUCCAAGCGUUAAUCGGAAUUACUGGGCGUAAAGCGUGCGCAGGCGGUUGUGCAAGACCGAUGUGAAAUCCCCGGGCUUAACCUGGGAAUUGCAUUGGUGACUGCACGGCUAGAGUGUGUCAGAGGGGGGUAGAAUUCCACGUGUAGCAGUGAAAUGCGUAGAGAUGUGGAGGAAUACCGAUGGCGAAGGCAGCCCCCUGGGAUAACACUGACGCUCACGCACGAAAGCGUGGGGAGCAAACAGGAUUAGAUACCCUGGUAGUCCACGCCCUAAACGAUGUCAACUAGUUGUUGGGGAUUCAUUUCCUUAGUAACGUAGCUAACGCGUGAAGUUGACCGCCUGGGGAGUACGGUCGCAAGAUUAAAACUCAAAGGAAUUGACGGGGACCCGCACAAGCGGUGGAUGAUGUGGAUUAAUUCGAUGCAACGCGAAAAACCUUACCUACCCUUG
rnacentral:rRNA from 1 species